GUUUGAGCAAUCAUGGGGCGCCCCGACCUGGAGAAACAUGUUCGGAUUGCGCUGCAGUCGCUUCUCCCUCCCAGCUUUAGGAAAACCAGAUUUUUAUCAGGACAGUUGGUGACCCCAGAUGGGACCUGAGUGAGGGCCUCCAACCCUGGAACUUUCUCUCAGAAGAACUUUUGGAGAACUGUCCUGGAAGCCUCAAGCUUAAUUUUCUCCAGCAAAGUGGCAGCUGGCCAAAAAGCAGGACAGCCUGUCAGCUGUAAUUUCUCCUUUUUUUUUCCAUAUUGGAGAAAUUAAGAGUUGGCCAUUGAACAACCUCACCUAAAACAAAUGAACAAGCCCACUGCUGCGUAAAGGACCCACUUCUGUAUAAGUGCCUGAUAUUUCUUCUCAUAAGGCCACUAGUCCAUUAUUCAAGGGAAAUGCUACGUGUUCCUGCAGUCUGAGGGCUGUGGAUGUCUGUCUCUGGGAAAGUCAAAAGAACAAUCUUGUGAAGGUAAAGGUAGGAGUCUCUUGACUUUGUUUCCCCAUCUUGGUAAGCGAGACAUUUUCCCUCCUAGGUAACCCUGAACCUGGCUGUGAUACCCUGUGGCUCAUAAUAACCCUUUCUGUGUGAUUGUGUUGACUAUUACCUGAAAUCAAACAGAAUUAAGAAACAACAGUAUCGAUACUGUUAUGUCCCUCCCUUUUUCUCACAUAGCAAAUGCCAUUGAUAAAGGCAACUAGCUCAUUUUUUCAUUAUAAUAAACAUGAGAGAAACUGUAUUGGUGAGUUUUGACUGAAUAAUAUAUGCUAGUAUAUAUACUACUAUAGUAGUAGUAAGUAGUAGUAAUAAUAAUCAUGCUUUAAAUUGUCAUUUGAAUUACAAGUAAUAGAGACCGUCCUUACAAUUGAUAGAGUAUUUAGUUUAUUGGAGAUUCAUACUGCAGCAUCCUUUCAUCAUGUUGAUAUCAGUACUACAUCUUUCAUUAUGUUGAUAUGAUCAUUUAUUUUAAUAUCCUCCUGAGUGGGGAAUGAAUUGGAAUCAGAUUUAGAUAAAGGUAAAUGCAAAACUUUUGGAAAUUAAAUGGAGCACACAACUUUGAGGAGCAAUAAGAUACAUGACUUUCAUGGAAUAUACAGGGAAUAUAUAAUUUUCGUGGAAAAUAGGACUAUUGACCUAUUUUCAUUUGGUGCUUAAAUUCUCUGAAGUUUCAGGUGUCAGUUCCUGAUUUUAUGUUCUAUGAUUCACCAUCUCAACUGGUUACUGCAUUGUAUUAAGAUCUGUUUUGCAAAGGAUUAUAGCAGAAACACCAAGGAACCUCCGUAAGUGACCAGCCCUUCCAUGAAGACCCACCUUCAGAUCUGCCAUUAAUUGAGACCUACUCCAUAUGUCUUUCCAGGGACCAUAUGUAUACCUGAGACAUAUGAAACUCAACUAGAAAUUAGAUGGACAUUGGGAGUGGGCUACUAGGGUACAAAAGUACUUGAUCAUUGUUUUACCUGAAAGGCAUGUAAAUUCUACCUUUCCCAUAUACCAUUUUCUCUGCAAGGCCAGCUUAUUGAAGGGGACUGCUCCCAAUGGAUUUGUCAGAUCCAUAGGUGGCAAAGCUUUUAGUCUGUAGCACCAAAGCACUCCAAAGUCAUGGGAACCUAUUUCUGUCUAACUAUCACAACAUGCAAAUGGAGAAAAUAUGAGAGUUUUAUCAUCUAUUGCUAGGCCAUUUGUAACAGUUAACCAGCACCAGUAAUAAAUCUCUCAUGCCUGGCUUUGUAUAAAAUAUUGAAUUCUGUAAUUAUUGCUUUCCAUUAUUAAUUUAAUUCCAAAGGAUGUGGAUUAUGCCCAAUUUGAUAUCAACCUGGCCUAUAGAUGGUAAUUCAGUGGAAACAUGGCUCCUUAGAAUCAGAGGGGGGAAUGUGAAAUUGCUGUAUUAUUUAUUAUAUUGAUUAAGAAUUAAGUUUAAUGACUGGAAUCAGUACUUAGGAAUUAAUUUGAUUUAAAAGAUAGUUUGACUACUUAAAAUUGAAGUAAGAUGGUUUGACUUCUUUAUAUGAAUAACUUCCCUGUUUUUCUAGGCUACAACUUGGACUCUUGCUCCAGAUGGGAAUGAGGGGUCUUAUGACCCUGGAGUCAUAAGACAUUCUACCUGGUCAAAAGUGAAGAGUUGUUUAACACUGGACUUUCCAAAGAAUGUUGAUUAACUCUGUUGUCAUAAGUCUUGGAAGUCCCCUCUUAUAAAUCAGGUUAAAUGUAAGUCCAUCUGUACCUUUACCAACUGUAUCAAAGACUGCUCUGUCUGCUCUAAUGCAUCCCUGGCCACUGAGGGGCUCUGGAUAUUAAGUUAUUUGCAACUACUAGUCUUGCUAAAUAGCUUGAAGACUUUGUGCCUCCGUUUCUGUUCAUUACAGAUUUUUAUCAGGACAGACCUGUGCUUUUGUGACAGCCAAAUGGAGGAUGGAUUGAAGUAAGGAGAGACUUGUGGCAGGGACACCAACCAGCAGGCUAUUGCAAACAGGCCAGGCAGGAAGUAAUGAAGAGGAUUCCCCAGGGCAGUUGCCAAAGAGAAAAGGGGGCACAAAAGAGAGGUACAUCAGAGAUGUCCCAUUGGUGAAAUCCUUCGACCUUGGCAGUACAUUAGAAUCUAAUUCUAGAGUCUAAUAACUUCACAGAACAAAUCCCUUUAAUAAAAGGGAUUUGUUCGGUGAAACCUGGACUCAGUCAAAAGGCCACAGCCAGGUUCUCCACCCCAGGAUUAGAUACUUGUGUUUUGUAAAGGGUUGGGCAGUGGAAAGAGGAUGAAGGUAAUACUUGCUUUUGAGACAGAAAACCCUGGGUGGUUCUUAUCUGUCUCUGUCACAAGCUGUGUGACCUUAGGCAACUGUUGUUUUGUGAUGGUUUUUCUUUCCAUUUACACUGUUAUACUCAUUAUGUGUAUUAUUUUCCUGGUUUAUUUCACUUCAUAUCAGUUGGGUCUUUCCAUUGCUCUCCCUUUCAACAUGUUUGUCAUUUCUCACAGCACAAUAAUCUUCAAUAUUGUUUGUUUGGCUGUUCCCCAGUGAAGGGACAUUUAUUCCUAGUAUUUUUCUACCACAAAAAAGUCCUGCUAAAAAUAUUUUGGUGAAUGUGGAGCCCUUUUUGUCAGUAGCUUCCUUUGGGUAUAUAUGCUUGCCAGUGGAAUCUCUGUGGGAAAGAUAUGGACAUUUUAAUCACUUUAUUUGCAUAAUUCCAAAUAGCUUUCCAUAAUGACUGUAUUAAUUCACAAUUCUACCAAAAAUGCAUUGUGUGUCUCAACCCACUCCAAAAUUGACUGUUUAUUUCCUCUCUAGACAUCAGUUACCUCAUUUAUAAAGUAAGGGAGAUCAGAUAGAUGAUCUUUGAAGUCCCAUCAUCUCUAAGGCUUUAAUUCCUUAAACUUUGCUCUUCUCCUAGUGUUCUUAUUUCUGGUAAUGUUGCCACUGUCUUCUCAUGAUCUAAACCUCAAAAUUGUAUACUAGCUGUGUGACCUUGGGCAAAAGAUUUAACCUCUCUGGUCUAAAGUUUCCUUAUCUGUAAAAUGAGGCCUAC